ACCAGGUGUUAGAAGCCGCUGAGAACCCUUCUCUUCGUUACCAGUCUGAAACGGUGAAAAAGUAAAAGUAAUAAGAGGUUUAACAGACGUCAUUGAAGUGGAUCAUGAAUUUGUGUAACGUUAAUGAAAAUGGCCAGGAGAUGUCACUAGAGAGUAUUCUCACAUGGCACUUGGUGCCAGUGUUCUACUGCCAAGUUGAGCAAUCCUUUCAUCAUAUUGCCUAGCAGCACUGACUCAGCUUUGGAAUGGCCAGUAGUGGGGAGUGGGCUUAUUGGCUGAGGUCUUCGAAACUGUCCCAGUGUCUGGCUUGUCUGGCUCCUUUUCAACAAUGUGGCAGUGGUUCUACAAUUAUGACAUAUUUGUUACGUAUUUGAAGAAAUCUGUAUCCUCAUAUGUGAUAGUUCAGUAUUUACUGAGUGGUGUAAUAUAUUCUUGCAUUUUGCCUUCUAGUUUGUACUAUUUGAUUGUAUUUGUGAGUUAGCAAUUAUAGAUUUUCCAAUUA